rnacentral:rRNA from 1 species
UACGUAGGGUGCAAGCGUUAAUCGGAAUUACUGGGCGUAAAGCGUGCGCAGGCGGUUUUGUAAGUUUGUCGUGAAAGCCCCGGGCUCAACCUGGGAAUUGCGUUGGAGACUGCAAGGCUAGAAUCUGGCAGAGGGGGGUAGAAUUCCACGUGUAGCAGUGAAAUGCGUAGAGAUGUGGAGGAACACCGAUGGCGAAGGCAGCCCCCUGGGUCAAGAUUGACGCUCAUGCACGAAAGCGUGGGGAGCAAACAGG